rnacentral:rRNA from 1 species
CCUACGGGAGGCAGCAGUGGGGAAUCUUGCGCAAUGGGCGAAAGCCUGACGCAGCGACGCCGCGUGAGUGAUGAAGGCCCUAGGGUUGUAAAGCUCUGUGGAGAGGGACGAAUAAGGUAAGGUUAACAGCCUUAUCGAUGACGGUACCUCUUUAGCAAGCACCGGCUAACUCUGUGCCAGCAGCCGCGGUAAGACAGAGGGUGCGAACGUUGUUCGGAAUUACUGGGCGUAAAGCGCGUGUAGGCGGCCAAGCAAGUCGGAUGUGAAAUCCCGGGGCUCAACCCCGGAAGUGCACUCGAAACUGCCUGGCUGGAGUGUCGGAGAGGGAAGUGGAAUUCUGGGUGUAGAGGUGAAAUUCGUAGAUAUCCAGAGGAACACCGGUGGCGAAGGCGACUUCCUGGACGAUAACUGACGCUGAGACGCGAAAGCGUGGGGAGCAA